rnacentral:sRNA from 1 species
AAAACAUCUAUUUAAUGUAUUUUAAAAUAAUUUGUAAGUUGCUUUUAAAACCAAUUUAACUACAUUCCAAAUUAUAAGCAGCCCAUUUAUAUGGGAGUAAUUUUUCAGGCGCAUUGUCUCGCAGGUGAUGAGAACUAGCUAGCUGGAAGCUGUGGGAAAAAGAGCCUCCAGGCACUCCGUUAUGUUGGUGUGACUUGUCUUGGAAAUACACUCUGAGCAUUUGCCAGAGGAGAUCCAGUGCCUGGGCCUCUGUUGCUUCUCCCAAGUAGAAUUGGCAGCUAAAAUACGGGAUGCCCAUGGGCACAACCUCUCACCCCCAUCACCGACCAGGGAGCAGAAGGAGGCUGCUGGGGAUGCCCCCACAGGGAGCACAGUCUCAUCGGGAAUGACCUUCCAUGGCAAACAAAAUCACCAGGGCAAGUCAAGGGAGAGACCAGGGAAGAGAGUGCUCCAGCCUAUAUUAAAAAAGGAUGAGAAAGGUUGAAGAAAAAGAGAAAAAGGGACAGAAAUUCUCUUCACACAUUUGCAGAAGUAGGUCUGGACUCUCCAUCCACUUCUCCUCCGAUACGUAGGACAGGAAUCUCAGAGGAAAUGGCGUCACUUCCCAUGUUUACAGACACAGCAGUGAACUCAAAGAACAAUCUUAUCAGGAUUUUCCAAAUGAAAACAUGGAGCAUAUAGAGAAUAAAGAUCUGCAAACUCUUA